AGAGUUUGAUCAUGGCUCAGGAUGAACGCUAGCUACAGGCUUAACACAUGCAAGUCGAGGGGAAACGACAUCGAAAGCUUGCUUUUGAUGGGCGUCGACCGGCGCACGGGUGAGUAACGCGUAUCCAACCUGCCCACCACUUGGGGAUAACCUUGCGAAAGUAAGACUAAUACCCAAUGACGUCUCUAGAAGACAUCUGAAAGAGAUUAAAGAUUUAUCGGUGAUGGAUGGGGAUGCGUCUGAUUAGCUUGUUGGCGGGGUAACGGCCCACCAAGGCGACGAUCAGUAGGGGUUCUGAGAGGAAGGUCCCCCCANAUUGGAACUGAGACACGGUCCAAACUCCUACGAGAGGCA
rnacentral:rRNA from 1 species